GUGUGUGUAUAUAUAUAUAUAUAUGUGUGUGUGUGUCUGUAUGUGUGUACUUUUUAUGUAUGGAAAUAAAGACAUACUCACCUAUCAGAAGUUGAAUAAACAGUUUGUAUGUAUUUUCCAGAGAUAUUCUCCUGAUAUCCAUCCUUGGGUGAUUUACUAGGAACAAAAUAUAUGGACAUGUGAGAAUCAGGUGAUUUUCCUUAUGUAGAUAAGAAAACACACUCACACCACCUCAUGAAGCCUCAUAAUAUUUUAUCUUUGUGUAUGUUACAAGCCAGGAUGAUGUACUGACACAUUUUUUUAAUCUGUAGAAAUAUUGAUACACAAGUCACCCCCAAUUUGACAUAUAUACCAAAAUAAAUAGAGAGUAGGGUAAGGAAUACAGGAACAAGUGUGAGCAGGAAAAGAAGUCCUCAUCUUUCAUGAAAUUUAUACUUGCACCUCAUCUGUUUACUAAAGAAAGCUACACAGAAUGUAAAGUAGAUAAAGAAAAUACACAAAGCACAAACAGGGCAAGCACACAGACACAUACACCAUUCACAGAGAGAAACUGAGAUUCUUGAACUUUUAGAAAAAGCAUGCAAAAUUUUUAUUUUUACUUGAAUAUAUCCAAGAAAGAAUAAUUUAGAAUGAAAGCAAAGAAGUAUGAUUUUUAAAAGUCUUCUGUUUUCUAUUAUGUAGAUUAUCCCAGCUUUUAAACACCACUAUUUCCUGGAGACAAAUAAAAUCUGUAAUGUCCUAACCAGCUGGCUCCCAUAAUUGCUUUCCAAGUACUUAUGCUAUCUGGGCAUAUAUUAAGAAUAGGAGCAAUAUGUUUCUUUAUUUCAUACAAUGAUUGAUAACCACAUGGCUCUCACUUGGGAUUUUUAAAUGAGAAACCUAUCUUUCUCUCCAAAUUUCCUGGAGGCAGACUGCUGUCAGAACUAAAAUCUACUUUAUGAAACACAUAAUCCCACAAUGCUACAAAAAAAUUUGCACAUAUUUAUGGAGGAUGCAUGUCAUGAUUCCCAUUUUAUUGAUGAGGAAACUUGAGACUGGAAGAGUAACAUCACUAGGGCUACACGGUUAGGAAACGACAAAGAAGGAUUCAACCUCAAAUAUGACUCUUGGGACUCCAUACUGUACCACGCUGCCUGUCAAUGUAGAUUUUAGGAAACUUAAGGAUGUCUGAGGUACAUCACCAUCCUUGCUAGGUUAAGGUACAGGAGGCAACGAAUCCUUUCAGAGGCUUCCGGUCAACAGACUAUUAGCCUGAUAUGCCACAAUAUUAAUAUUAUCUUUUUAUAAUGAUGGUGCUCAAACUCUGAUGCACAUCAGGAACAUCUGAAGAGUUUGUUAAAACACAGGUUGCUGGGCCUGAGCUGCAGAGUUUCUGAUCUAGCAGGCAGGAGUGAGGCCAAAGAAUUUUUAUUUCUAGAAAGUUCCCAGGUCAUGCUGAUGAUGCUGGCCCAGAGACUAUGCUUUGAGAAUUACUGUUCUAUAUGUGAACAUGAUACACAUAUGUACAGGGUAUUCAGUAUAUACUUUUAAAAAAAUAAACCAUAGUCAUCAUAAUAAAAUAAGUAUGCUUUAGUCUUGGUACUUCCAUGAAUCAAGUUAAUAUUAUUUUAUCCAUCUAUCCUAUUAAUUAAAAAAUCUCGAGUACGAUGUUUAGCAGAAUAUUCCUAUUCUUAAAUAAAUCAUUCAUUAUUCAAAAAUCAAUAUUGUGGUUGUUUGGCAUUAGUUCCCAUAAGAAAUUUCUUUAAAAAUCAAAAUGUAUUGAUGUGACAUCCCAUAAGGAUAAAAAUGUGAGAGAUUAUUAUGUAAAUAUAGAAAAAAAGCCUAUGUUAUUGUUCGCCAAUAUUUCACGCCUUGCCUUCACUAUGAUACUAUUUGAUAUUACUCAUCUUUUUAUCAAUUUAUUUCAGAUUUAGUAACUCCUUAGUGUUUUAAAAUUUACUCUGAAGUGUUUUAACUUUUAGUUUAAUUGAAAGACAGCAGAAAUCACUGACUUGAACACGCCAGAGAGUGAGAAUUGGAUUAAGGAAAAAAUCAAUAUUGAUGUUGCAUUUUACAAGGUAAAUUAUGCAUGGGUUUGAGAAACCUUUUUUGGAAGAUCGCUUACCUCCUGACAUGUAUUGAAUUUCCUGGAUCCCCAUCACGACUGCCAUCCACACAGAAGCUUCCCUGAAUACUCUUCUCUUAGACCUCUUUGAAAUGGGCUUAGCUUAACAUAUGGGUCAUGUAUACCAGCAUUUGUGUGCCCCACCAUUAUUGUACUUCACAAUUGGGACAAUUCUUGUUUUAUAUUCCUUGAAAACCAAAUGAAUUAUUGAGCCCUGACCUUGGUUUACAUUUUCCUCAAUAUCCAUCACUCCAAGCAGCAGAUUUCAAUUGAAACAUCAAUAUCCCAUAACUUGGGCCAAGAUAGCACUACUCAAAUUUAUACCCCUUAUUUUAGAUUGGCAGUAAACAAAAGUAGAUAGAAUUAUUUAAUUCAAGUGGAACUCCAAAUUAGUAUAGGAAUAGUUGUGCAUUUUAUAAAGCUUAUUUUAACCAUAUAGUUAUAUACAUUUAUGUGAGAACUUUCAAAUGGCAACCCUAUUAUGUAUACAUGUGUUAUACUAAAAUAUUACUGAGUUCAUCUAAUGACUAUAAUUAUUUAUAGCCCAAGUACAUAAUAUCAGAAACAUUAUAGAGAAUUAUAUAUAUAUAGAACUCAAUGUACUUAUAAACGGUCUUCUAUUUGAAAGAAGCACACUCUAAAACAAUAGCAUCUCUUAUUAAACAUAGAUCCUUUCAAAAUUAUAAAAUGAAGCAAUAUAUUUGAAAUAAAUUUUGAAUACCUAUUCUCCACAUAUGUCCUUGUGUACACAACAGUAUCCUGUGGUCCUGCCUGCUUGGCUCCAGUGUUAGAG
rnacentral:lncRNA from 1 species